rnacentral:rRNA from 1 species
CCCAGCACCGAAGCCUGCGGCAGCUUUGCUGUUAGGCAAUGUGGUGUUUGGGUCGGCUCGCGGGAUUGCCACUCCACUCGAAGUCCAGCAUUGAGUAUGGUCACUGGAAUUGGCCCAGAGAGGGUGAAAGGCCCGUACGGGUGGAGUAUCAGACAAGUAAGGCAAUUCACCAGGCCGGCCUUAGAGUCGGGUUGUUUGAGAAUGCAGCCCAAAGCGGGUGGUAAACUCCAUCCAAGGCUAAAUACAAGCACGAGUCCGAUAGCGAACAAGUACCGUGAGGGAAAGUUGAAAAGUACUUUGAAGAGAGAGUAAACAGUACGUGAAACCGCAUGCAGGUAAACGGGUGGCGUCAAGCUGCGAACCCAGAGGAUUCAGCUGGCUAGGAUGUCGUGAUGCGCCUGUCGCAUUCAUUGGCCGGAAUCAGAUGUGAUAGUCCACUGGGAGACGGUGGGCCCGACCGCAAGGUUGGGAUAUGUGUACCGGGUGUUAGCCGGAGCAUGCUAUUCGUCUGUUGGGCUGCCUAGUCAGUGCACUUUCUCUGUGGUGAACACCACGACCGGUGGUAUUGCCAGUCUGCUGUAGUCAAGUUCUGCUGAGAGGGUCCUUGUGGCCAACUUGGUGGGAUCACAGGCAAUGUCAGUGUACGGCGUGGGAGUGCCUUUGGUGUUCCUGCGUGUUAUCGGGCGCUGCUUGUCAACGGGCCUGCUCGAUGGUUGUUGUAACUGCCGUUGGGUGGUCUGGUGGGCUAUGGUGGUAAGAAAAACUGUGCAAGGCACCGGAGAUGUCGGCCUCAAAUGCGCUCUGCACUGGCAUGUUACAAGUGCGUGGGGGUGCCAUUGCGGUCUGCCUGUUGUUGAGUCUGAUUGUCGUGUCGCCUGCGCAAAGUGGGCCCGGCAGUGGCUUGAUGCAGGAUGGGCUGUGGAUGGUGUCUCUCGGGUGUGGAGUGCGGUGGGCCCAAUAGUCAGUGGUGCUGUGGUAGACGAGCUACCCGACCCGUCUUGAAACACGGACCAAGGAGUUUAACAUGUAUGCGAGUCAAGGGGUCCUACGAAACCCAAAGGCGCAAUGAAAGUGAAGCUUCGAUUUAUUCUCGGAGUGAGGUGAGAUCCUGCCGUGACUCGCAUAGCUUGGUGCCAGCAUCAGGCAAAGAGCGGUGGGCGCAUCACCGGCCCGUCCCAUGAUGUGGUCAUUGGA